rnacentral:lncRNA from 1 species
ACUUCCCAGGUGGGAGCACUUACGCAGACACCAGAGCCUGCUUGCGUCUGGGCGCAUAACUGAUAUAUCCAGUCACAUUCUCCUCCCAAAGCAGCUAUGGGUUCAGGAUGGACAGUCUUUUUCUCUCUUAUGUAUGGAGGCCUAGAAACGAAUCACAGGUGGGAUUCUGAUUGCGGGGACGGGAAUGGUGUCAAGCGCUUGGACUGUGCAGACACAGGCUCAGUACACCCUCAGGGACAGCACCAGACAGGACCAUUCAGAGGAAAGAAAGUCAAGGCCACAGAAUGUCUACAGCACUUGCCCCAUGCCAGGUGAGGCUGAAAGAAGUGGGCUCCUCCGUAGGACUGGCCUUCUGGGUCUGGUCUUCAGGUAGAGCAGAAACACCCAGUUCUAAGACCGCCAUGGGGUCACUCCAGGACAGUAAGACCAUCAUGGGGCCACUCCAGAACCAAGGCCUGUAAGUCCCAGCUGUUUCUGUCUCUUCGCUGUUCCCUAGAGCAACUCUUUCUGGCUCUGGAUCCUGUCUAUUUCUGUUGGAUUUCUGUGAAGUGUCAGAGUGAAGGGUGGCCAGGCAAGACAUGAUGUGAGAAUUCCAGCUGGUCACUGCAUGCUUCUCUAUGCCACAUUGCCACAUGGUUGUGUGUGUCUGUAAUCCACCUCAAAGGUCCCAGGCUGCACGAGAACAAGGUUCUACAAAAGGGUCACUCUGAAGUGAUGUUCACACAGCUGAGGUAAAGAGAAUGCUUGCAGCAAAUACCGUGCAUCAUCAAAGAACACUGACUUGAAAUGAGGGCUUGUAGUCCUCAAACAAUUGGGUUGGUGCCUCCUGUGGAUCCCCAGUUACAAAUGUGCAUGGAAUUAAAAAGACAAUACCCACCCAGGGAUCAUGC